CAGUUUGCAGUAUCUUAAUAGCUAAGGAUAGUAAAUUGUGCACUUCAUGAGCAUUUUUGGCACAAACUUUCUGAAGCAAUUUUCAAAGGAGUCAUCUGCAGUGAAUGAUACAGUGCUCAGUGCGGCACUGGAACACAUCAUUAGACAGUCUCCAUAUGCAGAAUACGGCUUGACACGACCUUCACUGUGACUUGUGUGCCGGGAGAGAAAGAGAUUCAUGUCAAAUCACAGUAAACUUCAAGCCACUGAACCCUUCCAAAAUGCUGUAAAAGUCUCAGCCUGUGCUUGGCUUAAACUCGUCAAGGUCUCCGUGCACAGCAAAGUUGGAGGGCUGCGCCUGCACCACCGACCCGCUAGAUUUCUGAACACAGUCUUGCCCAAGGGAAACACAUUCUGCGCCACUGGCUGGGUGUAAUGCAAGGAAGGGACAAAGAUGAAAUGGAAACAUCUUCCUUUUUUGGUCAUAAUAUCACUCCUCAGAGUGUCGAAGCAUCACCUGUUUCUGGCCCAGCUUAUUCCAGGUAAGUAGCAUGCUCUUGUUUCAUCAUUAUUUAAGCAGUGUUCCUUCCAUGCUUUGAGUUCAUUUUUUAUGUGUGCUGUAAAUCAAAUGUGUUCUUUUUGUAACACUUGUCAGUGUGUGUGAGUGGCUUCCGGAGUAAGUGUGCUAAUAAAUUCCAGGGAUGGACUGCUAAUUCUUGAAUACAGAGUGUUGUAUUGCCUCACAAGAAAAAUGAAAAAAAUGAUAAAAAUUCACCAUAACUGAUACAAAUAAGGAGUUACUAUGUUAACUAAAUGGAUUAGAGCGCUGGAAAAAGAAUUAUAGUAAGAAAACAAUGUAUAAAACACACAUACAAGCACACACACACACACACACAUAUACACACAAAAUCAAGUCUCACAGCC
rnacentral:lncRNA from 1 species